rnacentral:tRNA from 1 species
GAGGGUAUAGCUCAAUGGUAGAGCACAUGCUUAGUAUGGACAAGGUCCUGGGUUCAAUCCUGGUACUUCCA